rnacentral:lncRNA from 1 species
AUGGAAGUGAAAUCCAGGUGAUGGUUUUCAAAAUACAUGUCUAAACAAAAUCAGAUCUAAUGGAAGACAUUGAAGUGAUCAAUUACUGUGAAAGACAUAACAUCUUCAGGAAAGGCAAGCUUUAAGGAAUCAGAGAAUGAUCUUAGUGACAGGUACUGCUGAUCAUCAUUAUCAAGAAGCUGCAUGUCAUAUUUACUACUGGAA